AAGGAGAGAGGAUCAAUGCUCCACCAUCAACACCCAAAGCUGAAAUUUUACUUAAACUACUCCUUG
rnacentral:tRNA from 1 species